CGAGGAAAAGACAUCAACCGAGAUUCCGCAAGUAGUGGCGAGCGAAAGCGGAAGAGGCCAAACCGCAGGUGGCAACAUCUGUGGGGUUACGGACAGCGACCUGGGAAGGAAUUCUUAGAAGAACGGCAUGGGAAGGCCGGCCACAGAGUGUGAGAGCCACGUAUUUGAAAAGGAUUUUGGACCUAGCUGGAUCCAGAGUACCGCGGGGCACGAGGAAUCCCGUGGGAAGUCGGGGGGACCACCCUCCAAGCCUAAAUACUACCUGAUGACCGAUAGUGGAGCAGUACCGUGAGGGAAAGGUGAAAAGAACCCCGGGAGGGGAGUGAAAUAGUACCUGAAACCUUGUGCUUACAAGCAGACAUAGCCCGUUAAUGGGUGGUGUCGUACUUUUUGUAGAACGGUCCGGCGAGUUAUAGUAACUGGCGAGCUUAAGGUAUUGAGUACCGAAGGCGGAGGGAAACCGAGUGUUAAGAGCGCGUAUAAAGUCAGUUGCCAUAGACCCGAAACCAGGUGACCUAGCCAUGCCCAGGUUGAAGUGGAGGUAAAGCUCCAUGGAGGACCGAACCCACGUUCGUUGCAA
rnacentral:rRNA from 1 species